rnacentral:rRNA from 1 species
UACGGAGGGAGCUAGCGUUGUUCGGAAUCACUGGGCGUAAAGCGCACGUAGGCGGCUACUCAAGUCGGGGGUGAAAUCCCGAGGCUCAACCUCGGAACUGCCUUCGAUACUGCGGGUCUCGAGUCCGGGAGAGGUGAGUGGAAUUCCUAGUGUAGAGGUGAAAUUCGUAGAUAUUAGGAAGAACACCAGUGGCGAAGGCGGCUCACUGGCCCGGUACUGACGCUGAGGCGCGAAAGCGUGGGGAGCAAACAGG